rnacentral:rRNA from 1 species
AACUUUUGGCAACGGAUCUCUUGGCUCUCGCAACGAUGAAGAACGCAGCGAAAUGCGAUACAUAUCAUGAAUUGCAGAACUCUGAAUGAUAAAUGUUUGAACGCAAAUUGCACCGAUCUUCUGGUCGGUAUGUCUGUCUGAGAAUCUUA